UAAUGGCUUACCAAGGCGACGACGGGUAGCCGGCCUGAGAGGGUGACCGGCCACACUGGGACUGAGACACGGCCCAGACUCCUACGGGAGGCAGCAGUGGGGAAUAUUGCACAAUGGGCGCAAGCCUGAUGCAGCGACGCCGCGUGAGGGAUGACGGCCUUCGGGUUGUAAACCUCUUUCAGUAGGGAAGAAGCGAAAGUGACGGUACCUGCAGAAGAAGCGCCGGCUAACUACGUGCCAGCAGCCGCGGUAAUACGUAGGGCGCAAGCGUUAUCCGGAAUUAUUGGGCGUAAAGAGCUCGUAGGCGGUUUGUCGCGUCUGCCGUGAAAGUCCGGGGCUCAACUCCGGAUCUGCGGUGGGUACGGGCAGACUAGAGUGAUGUAGGGGAGACUGGAAUUCCUGGUGUAGCGGUGAAAUGCGCAGAUAUCAGGAGGAACACCGAUGGCGAAGGCAGGUCUCUGGGCAUUAACUGACGCUGAGGAGCGAAAGCAUGGGGAGCGAACAGGAUUAGAUACCCUGGUAGUCCAUGCCGUAAACGUUGGGCACUAGGUGUGGGGGACAUUCCACGUUUUCCGCGCCGUAGCUAACGCAUUAAGUGCCCCGCCUGGGGAGUACGGCCGCAAGGCUAAAACUCAAAGGAAUUGACGGGGGCCCGCACAAGCGGCGGAGCAUGCGGAUUAAUUCGAUGCAACGCGAAGAACCUUACCAAGGCUUGACAUGAACCGGUAAUACCUGGAGACAGGUGCCCCGCUUGCGGUCGGUUUACAGGUGGUGCAUGGUUGUCGUCAGCUCGUGUCGUGAGAUGUUGGGUUAAGUCCCGCAACGAGCGCAACCCUCGUUCUAUGUUGCCAGCACGUGAUGGUGGGGACUCAUAGGAGACUGCCGGGGUCAACUCGGAGGAAGGUGGGGACGACGUCAAAUCAUCAUGGGGGCGGGUGUCUUGGGCUUCACGCAUGCUACAAUGGCCGGUACAAAGGGUUGCGAUACUGUGAGGUGGAGCUAAUCCCAAAAAGCCGGUCUCAGUUCGGAUUGGGGUCUGCAACUCGACCCCAU
rnacentral:rRNA from 1 species